AUCACCUGGGGAUCUUGUUAAAAGGCAGAUUUUGAUUUGGUAGAUUUGGGAUGGGCCUGAGAUUCUUCAUUUGUAACAAGCUCCCAGGCGAUGAUGC
rnacentral:pre_miRNA from 1 species